UUGACCUCAAAUCGGGUGAGACUACCCGCUGAACUUAAGCAUAUCAAUAAGGCGGAGGAA
rnacentral:rRNA from 1 species